GGGCUGACGUCAGGAGCCAAGAUGGUGGCGGUGGUCGGACUCUCCUUGAGGCGCCGGUUGCCGGCCAGGGCACUUGGCCGAGCCUGCCUACAGGCCUGCCGAGGGAACCAGACAGCUGCAGCCACAGCUCCCCGAAUCAAGAAGUUUGCCGUCUACCGGUGGGACCCAGACGAGGCAGGAGAUAAACCUCGUAUGCAGACUUAUGAAGUUGAUUUGAAUAAAUGUGGCCCCGUGGUGCUGGAUGCUUUAAUCAAGAUUAAGGAUGAAGUUGAUUCCACCCUGACCUUCCGAAGGUCAUGUAGAGAAGGUAUCUGUGGCUCUUGUACAAUGAACAUCAACGGAGGCAACACCCUGGCCUGCACCCGGAGGAUUGACACCAACCUCAACAAAGUCUCAAAAAUCUACCCCCUGCCACAUAUGUAUGUGAUAAAGGAUCUGGUGCCUGGUUUGAGCAACUUCUAUGCCCAGUACAAGUCCAUCGAGCCUUACCUGAAGAAGAAGGAUGAGUCCCAGCAGGGCAAGCGGCAGUAUCUGCAGUCCGUAGAAGACCGUGAGAAACUGGACGGGCUCUUACGAGUGCAUCCUCUGCGCCUGCUGUAGCCCCAGCUGCCCCGUCUACGGGUGGAACGGGGACAAGUACCUGGGGCCUGCGGUUCUGAUGCAGGCCUAUGGCUGGAUGAUCGGCUCCAGGGAUGACUUCAUCGAGGAGCGCUGGACUAGUUUAUCUGGGAAGAAAUUUGGUGACUCUGAUGAGAUUUCCCUGCUUGCAUCUAGCCAGUUUCAGCAGGGCUAUCCCAUGAAAAUUCCCUGCAGCUACAGGAGCCCUUUUCGCUCCAAGGACUCUCUGAAGUAA